UGGGGGAUAUUGCACAAUGGGCGAAAGCCUGAUGCAGCAACGCCGCGUGGGGGAUGAAGGCCUUCGGGUUGUAAACUUCUUUUGCUCUGAACAAGGCAUGCCUUUGGGGUGUGUUGAGUGUAGGGGUUGAUUAGCGCCGGCUAACUACGUGCCAGCAGCCGCGGUAAUACGUAGGGCGCGAGCGUUGUCCGGAAUUAUUGGGCGUAAAGGGCUUGUAGGUGGCUGGUUGCGUCUGUCGUGAAAGCUCAUGGCUUAACUGUGGGUUUGCGGUGGGUACGGGCUGGCUUGAGUGCAGUAGGGGAGGCUGGAAUUCCUGGUGUAGCGGUGGAAUGCGCAGAUAUCAGGAGGAAUACCGGUGGCGAAGGCGGGUCUCUGGGCUGUUACUGACGCUGAGGAGCGAAAGCGUGGGGAGCGAACAGG
rnacentral:rRNA from 1 species